rnacentral:rRNA from 1 species
AAUGGCCGCGGUACUUUGACCGUGCUAAGGUAGCGCAAUCAAUUGGCUCUUAAUUGGGGUCAGGAAUGAAUGGAGUUUACGUGGUCCAACUGUCUCCUAGUUAAUUAAUUGAAAUUACUAUAUAGGUGAAAAAGCCUAUAGUGAGAAAAAGGACGAGAAGACCCUUAGAGUUUUACUUAAUGUGAGAAUAAAUUUCCGUAUUCAUACUGGUUUUGUUGGGGCAACAUAGGAGCAAAAAAAUUAAUCUCCUAAAUUAAAUUUACCGAUUUUAUUAAAUUUAUAUAAACUACCUUAGGGAUAACAGCAUAAUUUUAAAGUUAAGUUUGUGACCUCGAUGUUGGACUAGGAAACUUGAAGGCUAGCCGUCUUCAAGUAAAGUUCUGUUCGAACUAUUAUUCCUACAUGAUCUGAGUU